rnacentral:rRNA from 1 species
UCGAACGCUGGCGGCAUGCCUUACACAUGCAAGUCGAACGGUAGAGGGGCAACCCUUGAGAGUGGCGAACGGGUGAGUAAUAUAUCGGAACGUGCCCAGUCGUGGGGGAUAACGCAGCGAAAGCUGCGCUAAUACCGCAUACGAUCUAUGGAUGAAAGCGGGGGAUCGCAAGACCUCGCGCGAUUGGAGCGGCCGAUAUCAGAUUAGGUAGUUGGUGGGGUAAAAGCCCA